rnacentral:misc_RNA from 1 species
UUCAAAUCUUGUAGAGGUAGUAAAAGAAUCUUAUUUUAUUUAUUUAUUUUUGACUAAAAUAAGGUAUGCAUAUUUUUUAUUAGGUCUCAUUUGGUGUGUGAUGUAUCAAAUGUUACAAUUAGUCAACUCAAUUCAAAACCAACUUUUCCAAGUAGAUGAUGAAGCUGCUCAAUAUGUUGGAUUUUUAUCAUCUUUUCUUUUUUGAGUUAACUUAGUAGCCAAACGUGGCCUUGAAGAGGUUCUUUGUCCACUUUUGAUCUGG